CAUUUUGAAAACGUAAAUUUUUUAAUCCAAUGGAGAGAGACAUCUACUACUCUGAGACCGUGUCCCAUGUGUCGUCACACUGGUAGGAACAUCUCCUUGCAAAUCCUGAACCACCACCCCCACAAUGAUCCCGAACCAAAACUGGACUUCCGCCAUUUCCCCCCUCUCACUCUCCGUGAACAGACCAGCACGGCAGCGUUCAAGUCCUCCCAUAGAAAUAGUUCGGUUCUUAGGUGUUCUAACCAACACCAAAUUCUAUUCACUUUAACAAGGGAUCAACAAGUGAGGAUUUGUGGGUCACUUUUAUUUUUAACGGACCGGUGUCAGAAACACUGCCUCAGCAUUUAUACGUAUGUGCAUUUCAAACGAGGGUGCGUACAAUGCUGGAUUUGUUUCACGGCUCCUGUUGGAAAAAAAGGACCUAUUCCUACAGUCCGUCAUCCACUCACUGCAGAGGGCAAAUCCCAGUUGCCCACAUGCAAGGAGGCUGUCAAACAGAGAAAUCACUGCAGACUGUUGGUACACGGACAUCUGCUGCCCAGCUCAGGAGUGAAGGUGAUGGUGAGGACAGCCACAGCUUCCAUCUGGUAGAGGACUGCUUCCGCUCAGUCUUCCAAAUAGUGAUGAGAACAAGGAUCACCACAUCUCCCUGUUUACCCUACUUUCAUGCAUUUCGUCUGCAAGGCCCUGCAAAAGCUUCUGUCCUCAAACCCCCAGACUUCUUAAUUAACUCAGUAACCUAUACAUUGCACAUUGGAGUGUGAAGGUAACAGUUUGUUCUAGCUUUGGAGUAGUGGUGCAUUUUUUUGGUUUACAAUAAAGUUGGCUUUAACUAUUA